rnacentral:rRNA from 1 species
AGUGGCGGACGGGUGAGUAACGCGUGAGAAUCUGCCUUGGGGUCGGGGACAACCACUGGAAACGGUGGCUAAUACCGGAUACGCCUUCGGGUAAAAGAUUUAUUGCCCUAAGAGGAGCUCGCGUCUGAUUAGCUAGUUGGUGAGGUAAGAGCUCACCAAGGCAGCGAUCAGUAGCUGGUCUGAGAGGACGAUCAGCCACACUGGGACUGAGACACGGCCCAGACUCCUACGGGAGGCAGCAGUGGGGAAUUUUCCGCAAUGGGCGAAAGCCUGACGGAGCAAGACCGCGUGAGGGAGGAAGGCUCUUGGGUUGUAAACCUCUUUUCUCAGGGAAGAAGCUCUGACGGUACCUGAGGAAUCAGCCUCGGCUAACUCCGUGCCAGCAGCCGCGGUAAUACGGAGGAGGCAAGCGUUAUCCGGAAUUAUUGGGCGUAAAGCGUCCGCAGGUGGCGAUUCAAGUCUGCUGUCAAAGCACGGGGCUUAACUCCGUAAAGGCAGUGGAAACUGAAUAGCUAGAGUGCCGUAGGGGUAGAGGGAAUUCCCGGUGUAGCGGUGAAAUGCGUAGAGAUCGGGAAGAACAUCGGUGGCGAAAGCGCUCUACUGGACGGCAACUGACACUCAGGGACGAAGCUAGGGGAGCGAAUGGGAUUAGAUACCCC